UUAGUAUUACCUUUCAUUCUCUUUCACAAUUUUAUUUUUAUUUUGGAGGGCAUCUAAAUCCUCCCCCCACCCCAUUUUGUUCCAUCUGUUUACAUUUUAAGAAGGUUAAUUUUAGUUGUGUUUGCUAUACCGUUGUUUAAUUGUAGUUUAUUUUUAGGGAAGAGCAAAAUGUUAAAAUCUCAGAGCAUGUCAUUUAAUUUCAUUGAACCAUCUAUUUCUGGCAUGGCGGAGUGGAUUUGAAAUCCUCGUAGUGACAUGAGCUAUGCCAUGGCUGAAUCAUGGUUUUUUAUGCACAAGAAAUAAAAAAGUAUAUAUUUACUUCAAGCAUUAAUUUGGGCAGGAAGUGUGUGAAAUGUAGUCACUUAAUCCAGUUGCAUCAAUUAUUCUUUUUAAAAAUACAUCAUGGUUACAUACCUGUAAAAGUUACAGUAACUCUUUGAAAUUUUUUCUUUAAUUAGCACUUUCUCUCUCUCUCUCACACACACACACACUCUCUCUCCCCCCACACACAAUAUUUUGGUAAUAGUUCACUAUUACCCCCCGCAAAAUCCAAACAAAACUGAAAAAAAAUCUAAUAACAUUAACUUGGUUCAAAGUGCAAUUGGCCGUUUAUUUCCUGUCAUUUUCAGUACUCUAUUCCCUUCCAAUGGACCCAGGGUGGUCCCUUUACACACAUCAGCUGGAUGAUCCUUUUCAGCCUUCUAGAUCUUGAGGGGUAGAAAGAUGACCCGCUCAUUACAUUUAGGGGGGUCACUGAUUAGGAUGGCCACCCUCCUCUUCCAUACCAUAUCCCUUCUCAGUAUAUUCACAGGAGUGGUGACCUAUCAUCCUUUAUUCUGUGACCAAAAAUUUCCAGGUUGUGAUAAUAGGGCAGGGGUGGCCAACCUGAGCCUGAGAAGGAGCCAGAAUUUACCAACGUACAGGGGGAGGAGUUGGAGCAGAGUGGUUUGGAGUUGGAGCAGAGAGCAGCUUGAAGGAGUUAAAGUAGAGGAGAAAUGCCGUGGCUGGCUAGAAGACCAAGACCCGAGAAACAACUGGAAAGUGGAGCUCGGAGAGAAGGGACACGGAGACACAGCUGUAACUGACUGUUGAGCAGAAAAGACAGUUCACAUGAAUAUACAAAACAGAGCAAAGCUGCACAGAGAGUAUCCACUGAAUACACUGAUGAUCGGUACCUUAGACUGAAGAUCCUCAGCUGGCAUAAUUCUGUGUAGCUCCUUUGGCUUCCACGGAGCAAUGCAGAUUUACACCAGAUGUGUUAAUAAAGGAGAUUCACUUCAAAAGGAGAUUCCCAGUGUGUGUUAUCAGUCAGUAUACUUAUGUCACCAUUUUCUACAAGAUUUGUCUAAAACUAUCUCAAAGAGGGAGUGUGGUCCAGUGAUUACAGCAAGGGAAUGGAGCUCUUCUCAGUCUUGCCCUCACUUGUUGUGUGACUAUGGUAUUUGCUUAGCCGAACCACACAGAACAAUGUGAUGCCAUCGCAAACAGUCCUUCUGGAAGCCAUGGAGCGGAGCAAUUCGCAGAUGCUGGCGACUGUUGUGCAUCACCUUGACAUAGUGGAGCACUGCUUCUGGGCCCGGGAAAUAAGCACUGAAUCGUGGGACCAUAUUGUUAUGCAUCUGUGGGUUGACGAGCCGUGGCUGCAGAACUUUCAAAUGUGCAAGGCCACUUUCAUGGAACUGUGCAAAGGGCUUUCCCCAGCUCUGAAGCACAGCAAUACUAAAAGGAGAGUUUCUCUGACAGUUGAGAAGUGAGUGGCAAUAGCUCUGUGGAAGCUUGCAGUGCCGGACAGCUGCUGUGGGGAAUCAGUUUGGAGUGGGUAAAUCUACCGUGGGAUCUGCUGUGAUCCAAGUUGCCAGGACAAUCAAAAGACUUCUGCUAAGAAGGGUAGUGACUCUGGGAAACACGCAGGUCAAAGUGGAUGGCUUUGCCGUGAUGGGGUUCCGUAUCUGUGGUGGGACGAUAGACGGAACUCAUAUCCCUAUCUUAGCACCAGACCACCUUGCUAAAGAGUACAUAAAUUGAAAGGGGUACUUAUCAAUGGUGUUGUAAGUACUGGUGGAUCACAGGGGCUGUUUCACCAACACCAACAUAGGAUGGUCAGGAAAAGAUGCAUGAUGCGCACAGCUUUAGGAAUCCGGUCUUUUCAGAAAUCUGCAAGCAGGAACUUUCUUUCCAGACUGCAAAAUAACCGUUGGUGAUGUUGAAAUGCCAAUCGUGAUCCUGGGACACCCAGCCUACUCCUUGCUCCCCUGGCUUAUGAAGCCAUACACAGGCAGCCUGGACAGCAGUAAGGAGCAGUUAAACCAUAGGGUGAGCAAGUGAAGAAUGGUGACGGAAUGUGCCUUUGGACAUUUAGAAGCCCACUGGCAUAGUUUGCUUAUUAGAGUACACCCCAGUGAAAGCUAUAUUCCCACUGUUGGUGCUGUGUGCUCCAUAAUAUCUGUGAAACAAAGGGAAAAAUGUGUCUGGCAGGCUGGGGGUUGGAGGCAGAUCACCUGGCAGACAAUUUUUGAGCAGUCAGACACCAGGGCAACGGGAAGGGCAGAGUGAGGCAUGCCGCAUCUUCGUGAGACUUUGAAAAGUAGUCUCAUCAAUGACCCACAGUAAUGUGACAUUUGUGUGUGUUGUUCCUUAUUGAGCUGUUCCCUUCAUUGCGUGUACUCCCCUGUAAACUCUACCCCCGCUAACCGCUGUGUGCUCAAUGAAUAAAGAGCCUUUUCUC